rnacentral:misc_RNA from 1 species
GGGAUGUAUACGGGGACAUGAGUGUGAUAAGACAUCACAAUGGGAACACAUAAUAGUUUUGCAAUAAUGAGAGCACCAAAAACCAUUAUCCCAGGUGAUGAUGCAUGUAUUAUGUCAGGCUUAAACCGUGCAACUUCUGAAAUUAUUCUUGGACUCAGUGCCAAAGAAAGAGGCACCUUCUGGUACCAGGGGCAGGGGAAGCUCCGUGAUCCAAUCAAUUUUGCUCCAUAAAACUCCU